GAUGAACGCUGGCGGUAUGCUUAACACAUGCAAGUCGAACGGACUCUUCGGAGUUAGUGGCGGACGGGUGAGUAACGCGUGAGAAUCUGGCUUUGGGUUCGGGACAACCACUGGAAACGGUGGCUAAUACCGGAUGUGCCGAGAGGUAAAAGAGAAAUUGCAUGAAGAUGAGCUCGCGUCUGAUUAGCUAGUUGGUGAGGUAAAGGCUCACCAAGGCAGCGAUCAGUAGCUGGUCUGAGAGGAUGACCAGCCACACUGGGACUGAGACACGGCCCAGACUCCUACGGGAGGCAGCAGUGGGGAAUUUUCCGCAAUGGGCGAAAGCCUGACGGAGCAAUACCGCGUGAGGGAAGAAGGCUCUUGGGUUGUAAACCUCUUUUCUUAGGGAAGAACAAAAUGACGGUACCUAAGGAAUCAGCAUCGGCUAACUCCGUG
rnacentral:rRNA from 1 species